rnacentral:rRNA from 1 species
UGGGGAAUAUUGCACAAUGGGCGCAAGCCUGAUGCAGCCAUGCCGCGUGUGUGAAGAAGGCCUUCGGUUGUAAAGCACUUUCAGCGAGGAGGAAGGUGGUGAACUUAAUACGUUCAUCAAUUGACGUUACUCGCAGAAGAAGCACCGGCUAACUCCGUGCCAGCAGCCGCGGUAAUACGGAGGGUGCAAGCGUUAAUCGGAAUUACUGGGCGUAAAGCGCACGCAGGCGGUUUGUUAAGUCAGAUGUGAAAUCCCCGGGCUCAACCUGGGAACUGCAUUUGAAACUGGCAAGCUAGAGUCUCGUAGAGGGGGGUAGAAUUCCAGGUGUAGCGGUGAAAUGCGUAGAGAUCUGGAGGAAUACCGGUGGCGAAGGCGGCCCCCCUGGACGAAGACUGCACGCAUGCGAAGGCUGGCGAAAGUCGGGUGGGGAAGGCCAAAAACCAGGGAUUUAGAUACCCCUGGUAGUCCACGCUGUAAAACGAUGUCGAUUUUGGAGGUUGUGCCCCUUGAGGCGUGGCUUCCGGAGCUAACGCGUUAAAUCGACCGCC